rnacentral:lncRNA from 1 species
GAGAGUGGGGGUUGGGCUAGUCGAAUUCUAGUUGGGCCAGCCUCGGUUGUGCUACUACCUGCUAUAGGACUUGGACCAUUGUGGGCAAUUCUCCUACUUACUGAGUGAACAGGUCGAACUGCUCCUUGUCUACAGGCACAAUUGGCUAUUCAAGUGGAACAAAUUUGGGAGUCUGUUUCGAUGGAGCAGGUUCGAAGCUCUGUAAUGAC